AGGAGCCGUAUGCGUAAAAGCGCAUGUACGGAUCUGUGAGGGGCUUGCGGCGUGAGCCACUUGUCUACUCGAC
rnacentral:ncRNA from 1 species